rnacentral:rRNA from 1 species
AGUGAACGCUGGCGGCAGGCCUAAUACAUGCAAGUCGAGCGGCAGCACAUUAAGCGCUCGCCCAUAAGGGUGGCGACUGACGGACGGGUGAGGCAUACAUCGGAUGCCACUUUUUCGUGGGGGAUAACGGAGGGCAAAUGCUACUACUACAUCAUACGUUUAACCGGUGAAUUCAGGGGUUAUACGGACAUUGCGCUAAUGAAAGAGUCGAUGUCGGAUUAGUUAGUUGGUUGGGUAAAGGCCCACCAAGGCGACGAACCGUAGCUGGUCUGAGAGGAUGAUCAGCCACACGGGAACUGGGACACGGUCCAGACUCCUACGGGAGGCAGCAGUGGGGAAUAUUGGACAAUGGGCGCAAGCCUGAUGCAGCCAUACCGCGUGGGUGAGGAAGGUCUUCGGGUUGUAAAGCCCUUUUGUUGGGAAAGAAAAGCGGCAGAUUGAAACGCCGAUAUUCUGACGGUACCCAAAGAGAAAGCACCGGCUAACUUCGUG